AUACUUACUAGACAAGGGAGAUAGCAGGAUCAUGAAUGUGGUUUUCACAGGGUCAGUCUUAUCCAUUCUACUUUAGAUGUGCUGAUCCUUGCUAUUUCCUCAAAUGUAGAAAAUCUGACUUUUAACUUUUGAUAAUGGGUACUAUGUUUAUACUCUUUCCUG